rnacentral:rRNA from 1 species
AUGGAGGCAACUCUGAACCAGCCAUGCCGCGUGCAGGAUGACGGUCCUAUGGAUUGUAAACUGCUUUUGUACAGGAAGAAACCUCGCUACGUGUAGUGAUUUGACGGUACUGUAAGAAUAAGGAUCGGCUAACUCCGUGCCAGCAGCCGCGGUAAUACGGAGGAUCCGAGCGUUAUCCGGAAUUAUUGGGUUUAAAGGGUUCGUAGGCGGUUGGAUAAGUCAGUGGUGAAAUUUCUUAGCUUAACUAAGACCCGGCCAUUGAUACUGUUUGACUUGAAUAGUAUGGAAGUAACUAGAAUAUGUAGUGUAGCGGUGAAAUGCUUAGAUAUUACAUGGAAUACCAAUUGCGAAGGCAGGUUACUACGUACUUAUUGACGCUGAUGAACGAAAGCGUGGGGAGCGAACAGGAUUAGAUACCCUGGUAGUCCACGCCGUAAACGAUGGAUACUAGCUGUUCGGUUUUCGGACUGAGUGGCUAAGCGAAAGUGAUAAGUAUCCCACCUGGGGAGUACGUUCGCAAGAAUGAAACUC